rnacentral:lncRNA from 1 species
CACGUAUCCAAUUGUGUGCCACAAAUCAACCAAACCAUCACGACCACAGCCAGGACCACCAUAACCACCGCCACAACCAACCGUGACUCACAAAUUAUGAGUUACAAUUGGCUGGGAGUCACAAUCACAGUUUUCAGGUCACGGGUCCAAUUAUUUAUCAUAAAAUCAACCAAACCGCCGCAACCACCACAAUCCACCACGACAACCACUACCACAAACCACAAUAUCAAACCGUCGCCGGUUUGCAACUGCAGUAACCGCUAUCACCACCAACCCCAACCCCAACGCCACCACCGUCAACAUCACAGUCAGAAGCACUAUCUUCUGUACCAAAAAUAACAAACACUAUCUCAAAUUACACCACAAUCACCACAUUCAACAAAAAAUGCCCAAAUCACCACUCCAACAGCGACGUCGCCGCCUCACCUCUCCGCACAGUGGCAGUGGGCCUCAGCUGAACCGGUAGAUCUAUUGUAACCAGUUGAGCCACCGACGAUGACGGGCGCUUGCAAUGACGACUGGAGCUGCUCCAUCGUCGGCUGUCGAAUCUGAAUAGAUGAAAGGAGAGAGGAGGAGAGAGGGGCGAGCAGCACACCAGUUGAGCCACCGACCGCUUGUCCGGCGACGACGGGUGCUUGCGGUGACGACCGACCGAAGCAGCUCCAUCGCCAGCUGUCGAAUCUGAAAUGAUGAAACUAGAGAGGAAGAGAGAGGGGCGAGCUUGUAUAAAAUUUGUAUUAUAAUAUUUAACUUUUUGAACAAUGAAACCUUCCCUUUGAUUUUAGAAUUUUGAUUGGGGUGAAAUUUCCACUUCACUAGCCAUGAGAAAACCCAAAUCCAAGAUCCCUCUCUUCGCAAUUAUCACUCAACGCUCUGCCUCUCUUGAUUAGCCCUAAAUUCCAAUCUUUGGUCGCGGCUGUUGAAUCAAACGAGCUCUCCAACUGCCCAAAUCGUCAUCGCUGGUCGCCAAUCUUUAGUUUUUGGGAUUCUUUUAUUAGGGUAAGAUUUCUGCUUGAAUUACCCUUUAUCUCUUCUUUGUCGGUCAGAUUCUCACCUCUAUUGAAUUGGAUUUUGUUGCUAUUGUUUAUUUCAAGAAUUGCGGUCAAGCAUAUGUAGUCAUCCUUUCACUGUGGGCAAAUCCAUUUGUGUGUUACUUGUGGAGAUUGCUAGCUUUUACCCAGUCCAUUUGGUAUGACCUGUUCUAUUUGUUCUGUUCUUUUGGUCGAUUAGUAUGUAUUCAUUUUGUAAUUGAAAUCUACUUCAUUGUGUGAAUGUAUGGAUUAUGGUAUUGGCAGCACCAUUUUAUGUUUAUCAUACUUGUCAUUAUAUAAAAAGCAGAUAUUCAUGUGGCAAUUGGAAGCUGAAUAUUUUCAAUGACUGUUGUUAUGAUCGGUUCAUCGAAUUGAAUAAUCACCAUCUGGGGACAUGGUUCAAUCCGAACGUUCUGUUUGUGCACUUCUUGUGCAUCAAGUAUCCAUGGAAAUAAUUUUGCUCAAGAAAUUAGCUCGGUGUGGUUUUGUAGGGUACGCUUGCCCUAAAAUAUCUUUGUGAGAUAUAGAUAGAAAUUCUCUUGACUGCAAAAUAGAAAUAUUAGUCUUUAAGAAAUAAAAUGAUAAGAUUUGCAAACAUUGAUUGGAAUAUUUAAAGUUAAGUGCGUAGGAAGUGAUGAACACGAGAAUUUCAGAUGCUAUGUUCAAUGGAUAUUUUGACAUCCUCUUGCUACAAUAACAUCAUAAACUUCCUCACUUUUCCAGGAUUAGCAAAUCCAGCCCCCAUGAUUCAAACAUUUUAUUCCAAGGAUCAGGUUUUUAAUGAUGUUAAACUUGAUGGCAUUGUUAUGCUGGUGGAUGCUAAACAUGCUGUUUUGCACCUUGAUGAGAUUAAGCCUAAAGGUGGAGUAAAUGAGGCAGUAGACAAAUUGCUUAUGCUGACCGAAUUAUAGUAAACAAGGUACAUUUUUAUCUUCAUAGCAUGUAAUAAGUUUGGUACGCGUUUCCCCAACAAAGUAUAACUGAAAGCUCUGCAAACAAUGACAAUAUCUAGUUUAUCGGCAUUUCUGUUUUAUAAUCUGGAUUCUUAUCCUGCUUCAAUAAUCUUGUAAUGCAGCUACUAUAAGAUCUAUUAGGCCAAAUGGAAAAUCAUUUUUCUAGCUAUUUGAUUGCUAUUUGUACACCUACCGGUACAUCUUCUACUAAUUUCGCAACGUGCUUUGUAAAGAAAACCCUGGACGGUUGUUCUGCAUCUUGCAUAUGGUGAGAUACUUGGCAUUCUAAAGUUCAACUUGAUGAUUUCCAUUGUGAUCGUAGACUGAUCUUGGUGGUGAACCAGAGAUUGCUUUUAUAUGUGUGCUUUGUAAAGAAAACUCGUAAGGAAAAUGUGUAAAUUAUAAAUAGUAUCAUUUUUGUAUUGUCAUAAUAUUGAUUUAUAUUUUUAUCAUCAUUAAAUCCAUGGUCAUUAGUUAAAAACUCAAUGUUCGAUUUUGAUUGAAUUGUGCCUGCACAGAAAUAAUCUGGCUCCUCCCAUUGUUGUGUCAAUUUUACUUAAAGAAAAUAAAUAAGUUAUAUGCAAUGAGUAAUUUUUUGAUUUAUGCAUAGCUUCUACUAUUGGCUCACUAGAAUAAGUUUACCUUGCAAGACAACAUCUCAACCACGCAAUCUUCAGUACCUGGUGUAACCCCUAAGUCUGAUGCCGGAGCAAUCUCAAAACUGAGAAGUUGAAGCUGUGGUAGAGUAAACCUGCAUCUAAGCUAACAUAACUUAGC